GAUGAAGAACGCAGUGAAAUGCGAUAAGUAAUGCGAAUUGCAGAAUUUCCGUGAGUCAUCGAAUCUUUGAACGCACAUUGCGCCCUUUGGUAUUCCAAAGGGCAUGCCUGUUCGAGCGUCAUUUGUACCCUCAAGCUUUGCUUGGUGUUGGGCGUCUUGUCUCUAGCUUUGCUGGAGACUCGCCUUAAAGUAAUUGGCAGCCGGCCUACUGGUUUCGGAGCGCAGCACAAGUCGCACUCUCUAUCAGCAAAGGUCUAGCAUCCAUUAAGCCUUUUUUUCAACUUUUGACCUCGGAUCAGGUAGGGAUACCCGCUGAACUUAAGCAUAUCAAUAAGCGGAGGA
rnacentral:misc_RNA from 1 species